AAGGAGCACUUCUAGCCGGGCUUCGGCCUGGUUCAGAGGCCAGAACAUCAGCGAAUGUCUGAUGCUGGUAGCUCAUGGGUGGAACGUUGAUUAUUCGGCACGGUCGGUAUGGGUGAGAGCGCUAGUACUGCUUCGGCGUGGAACGCGAAGCUCAUCAACUGACCGGGUCGGGCACGCUGUUGGGUAUCUGAGGGAAUGAACCCCCUCGAGAUGCCGACCCCGGUGAAGAUCCGCGUUGAGCGGGUUGUGACGGGUGGUUGGUCGUUGUUUGAGAACUGCACAGUGGACGCGAGCAUCUGU
rnacentral:misc_RNA from 1 species